rnacentral:rRNA from 1 species
UACGUAGGGUGCGAGCGUUAAUCGGAAUUACUGGGCGUAAAGCGUGCGCAGGCGGUUCGCAAAGUCUGAUGUGAAAGUCCAGGGCUCAACCCUGGGAUGCCGGUGGAUACUGUCGGGCUCGAGUCCGGAAGAGGAGUGUGGAAUUCCUGGUGUAGCGGUGAAAUGCGUAGAGAUGCGGAGGAACACCGAUGGCGAAGGCAGCCCCCUGGGCUAAGACUGACGCUGAGGCACGAAAGCGUGGGGAGCAAACAGG